AUGUUGGGCAGCAGGAGGUGGGCUGGUUCUGCUCAGCACUGCUGUGGCAUUUCGGUUGCAACAAACAAACAAAACCCGCCGAAAACCAGCCUGAUUUUCUUCAAAUUUUUCCUAGCCUGCAAACUGAAGCCUAAAAGCAUCAGGAAUUUUCCUUAGCACCUCGAAGGGAUGCUUUUCAGUUGAGUUCCCAUAAUUGCUGUAACAGGAGAGCAUUCCUAGUAGAUGUUAUCUUUUGGACGGCCUGGCAUCUGACACCCCUCCUAUUUUUCUCCCUCAAACAGCCAUAAUACAUUUCAUGUCUUUACAUCCAACUGACUGCCUAAUUCCAGUUUCCACAUGAAAAUGCUUAUCACAAAAUACUCUUCAUAUCAAUACUGCCAGAGAUCAGGCCCAUUUAGCUGCCUUUUCUGACAGAUAUUCUUGGCUAUGGAGAGCCUGUUAAUAAUGAUUGAAGUAUAUGACAUUUCUCUGGAAUUAAUGAUUGACUACAAGACUCCAGUGGCUCAGUGCUUGGCAAAGGACCGUUCUCUCUAGCAGGCAAUCUUUCCCUGGGAAAUACUCAGAGGUUGCAUGAAGAUUAUCAUUAUUGUUUACAAAAUGAAAUAGUGAAUUUUAAGCAUGAUCGUUGCAAUUGCUCUGUGUUUUCAUUGUUCAGUAUUCUUCAGAUUUAUCUCCACCUCAGUGUUUAGAUUAACAUGUUAUCUUUUUCUCUUAAUUUUACUCUUUGGAAAUCACUUAUUUACAUAAAAGCUUGCAAGAAUCAGUUCUAAUAUUCCACACAGGUAAACACAAAAUAUAUAAUACACACAUAUCUGUAAAAAGUAUGAGGGUGUAAUGUGUUCAUAUAACUUCCACUGAGAAAUGGCUAUACAACGCUAUGUAUGUCCCCCCCAAAACCUACUUUCUAGAUUAAAAUUGAACAAGCAGCAUUGCCAUUGAUCCACAUGUGAAAGUCUCAUUGAAAAGAGAGAAGUAUAAGAGGACUAACGUGCUUUGUAUUAAG
ensembl:lncRNA